rnacentral:lncRNA from 1 species
GGUGGUGCCGAUGCCUAGUCUAGCCAGGGCUGACCGGGCCGCGCCCGCCUCGUGACCACUGUGGGGCUGCGCUGCGGGAAAGGUGCUGACGAGGCGGGCGCGCGAGCUCGGCGGGGAGGGGUGCGGCCGGUCGGCGGCUGGCCGGUCCCCGACUUCCCGGCACCCUGGGCGACCGCUCCCUCGUGCGAGCGGGACCACGCCUGGACCGGGGCCCGCAGGUUUUACAGGGCAGCGGGGGGGAUUUGGGGCACGUGGGGUCGGGCCGCACCCCGACCUCGAGACGGCGCGGCGCUGCGAGCAAAGAGCCGUCGCGCCCGGAGCCAGUCAGCUCCGGCCAGGUCGGGGAGGAGGAGGGCACGCGCCGGGAGGACCGCGACUGGCCGCCUGGAGCCCGUGGCUCAGGCUUUCCCAGCCGCUGUUUUCCCCUUUGUACAUCGGGAUCCGCUUCGCACACUUAGUUUCUGCCUAGCACAUAGAGUGGCUUUGGUUAGGAAAAAGGUGGCAAAGGGCCCAUCCCUGAACUGAUUAGUUGAGCCUGGGACCUGAUCAGAAUUGAGGGGAGGAGUGUUACCAGAAUUUUCUCUGUGCCCCGCACUUGCAUAAGUGCUUAUGGCUAGGAGCCCUGUGUAGGGCACACAUUACCUUGGGGCGCCCUUCGCUUCUUUCUCCUCUUGCUGCCCCUUCCCGGAAUCUCUCACCUCAUGACGUGACUAUGGUCAAGUCAUCGUUUCUGGGAUGGCCUGACCCCUGGGGACACGCCAGCCUCCAGGAGCUUAUAUGAGGCUGGUUUACCAGAGUAGACAGUGUAAGGCCCUGUCCUGGAAGGAGGAACAUGAAUAUGUCCUG